rnacentral:lncRNA from 1 species
ACGCUGAUUUUAUGCUAGCAUAAUCGAUUAUUUCCUUGUGCAUAAUCGAUUAUCUUUCAGCGUUUAAAAAAACUUUGGCAACAGUCAGUGAAUAAUCGAUUAUGCUAUAUAGGAUAAUCGAUUAUUGACCUCUGCGGAGUUUCUAAUUUAAUCUGAAUAAAAAGGAUAAUCGAUUAUCAUAUUACAUAAUCGAUUAUUUUG